rnacentral:rRNA from 1 species
AUUGAACGCUGGCGGCAGGCCUAACACAUGCAAGUCGAGCGGAUGAAGGGAGCUUGCUCCUGGAUUCAGCGGCGGACGGGUGAGUAAUGCCUAGGAAUCUGCCUGGUAGUGGGGGAUAACGUCCGGAAACGGGCGCUAAUACCGCAUACGUCCUGAGGGAGAAAGUGGGGGAUCUUCGGACCUCACGCUAUCAGAUGAGCCUAGGUCGGAUUAGCUAGUUGGUGGGGUAAAGGCCUACCAAGGCGACGAUCCGUAACUGGUCUGAGAGGCUGAUCAGUCACACUGGAACUGAGACACGGUCCAGACUCCUACGGGAGGCAGCAGUGGGGAAUAUUGGACAAUGGGCGAAAGCCUGAUCCAGCCAUGCCGCGUGUGUGAAGAAGGUCUUCGGAUUGUAAAGCACUUUAAGUUGGGAGGAAGGGCAGUAAGUUAAUACCUUGCUGUUUUGACGUUACCAACAGAAAAAGCACCGGCUAACUUCGUG